rnacentral:rRNA from 1 species
GAAAACGCCCUUGGCCCCUUCUGGAACAAGGAGCCGGUAUCAGGCACAACAAUUAGCCCAAGACACCUAGCUUUGCCACACCCUCACGGGAAUUCAGCAGUAAUUAACAUUAAAUAUUAGCGACAGCUAGAUUUAGUCCGGGUGAAGAGGGCCGGCAAAUCUGGUGCCAGCCGCCGCGGCUACACCAUGAGGCCCAAGUUGAGCUCCUUCGGCGUAAAGCGUGAUUAAAGUUAACCCCAAACUAGAGUUAAACUUGAACUAAGUUGUAAUAAGCUUGUUUAUAGGAAAAUCACAAACGAAAGUCACUCUAAUAUCCUCAACUUGAAUCCACGACCGCUUGGACACAAACUGGGAUUAGAUACCCCACUAUGCCUCGCCGUAAACUUUUAUUUACUACUCAAUCGCCAGGGAACUACGAGCUAAGCUUAAAACCCAAAGGACUUGACGGUGCCCCACAUCCCCCUAGAGGAGCCUGUCCUAUAAUCGAUGACCCACGCUAAACCUCACCAUUUCUAGUUUAUCAGCCUGUAUACCUCCGUCGUCAGUUUACCACAUGAGUGACUUAAGUAAACUUAAUGAUCCCCGUCAACACGUCAGGUCAAGGUGCAGCAUAUGAAAUGGAAAGAGAUGGGCUACACUUUCUAGUUUAGAAAAUACGGAAGACUUUAUGAAACCUAGUCUAAAGGAGGAUUUAGAAGUAAGAACGGAUCAGAAUGCC